rnacentral:lncRNA from 1 species
CUCCGAAAUGUCCUAGCAGUCUUAGCUAAAAAGUCCGAAAACUGAUUGCGCACUCGUGGAACAUGUAUGAUUUUGAAGUUCGGAAAGCAGAUCUGCAACGUCUCUAUCCAAUUCUAUCGCAAAUCUUGGCCAUUUUUGGGGUUCAUUUAUCAUAGCAAUCAGCUCCUUACAGUCUGUUCCAAAGCUCUGACAUGGCGAGUGUUGAAGCAUAUUCUCCAUCGCCCAGCGCAAUGCUUCUAUCUCAGAAUGCAAUGCUGAUUCACAUCGAGUGAAGUUCCGUGUACCCAUAAGUUGUAUGUUCUCCCCGCUAUCCAUCCAAGCCCAUCCGCAUCCACUGAAGCUAUCGGAAGCUGUCCAUGAUCCAUCCAGGAGGCAAAUAUUGCCCAAGCUUAAGACUUGGUUUUC